UGGCCUUUGCUUGUGUUCUAGAGUGUGGAUGGCCUUUGCUUGUGUUCCAGAGUGGGGCAAACUCAAAGACAGAACUACUGUUUUAGCUCAGUAAAGGCAUACAGUUCCCAAAACUCAGACAAAAGGUCAAGAGCAACAACAGACAUGGAUGAGUCAACUCCCUCUCUUGAUGAAGAAAAUCAGGACCAAGGAAGCUAAAAAUCUUAGGGUCAACCAGACAGGAAGUAACAAAAUCAAGAUUUGAAUUGUGAUUGGUCAAUUCCAGCUUCACCUUCUGCUUCACCAUGGAACUCUAAGGGAUGCCCAUGAAGAGGGGAAACUGAGACCAUGGUGUAAUAGAAAACACAGACUCCCAUAUUUCUAGGCCUGUACUAUAGGAGAUGCUACUUGGUAAACCAUGGAAGGGAGAGGAAGAGUCUUAGAAGGUCCAAAGCUCCACUGUGAACGCAGCUCACAGGGUGAGUGGUGGGAAGCUGGAUGCAAGAGGAGCCAUUCUCAAAGGAGACUUGAAAAGAGGGCAGCAUUUUCCUUAGCUGUCACCACGCAGCUCGGUCCUUCUGCACUGGGGUGAAGACUGCCAACCAGCACCAUGCCAGAGUCUGCACCAUAUCCUCCAUCUCUGAGCUUGCCUCCCUCUGCCCUCAUCUUGCAAGACAGGACGGUCGGUCGUGGAGGAUACAAUCAAUGCCCUCAUUAAAGCGGCUGGCGACAGUGCUGAGCCUUUCUGUCCUGUUUGUUUGCAAAGGCGCUGACCACAUUGGAGCCUCAUCUUCAGUGUAGGGACUCGUGGAUCUGCUCCGGCAGCUAGAGUCACCCGAGCAGGUGUCCUGCCUCCUCCACUGCUGCCCCAGCUGAGGAGGAGAAAGCAGAAGCAAAGAAUCCAAGGAGUCUGAUCGUGAUGGGGGCUUUGGUCUCUUUUUACUAGUUCUCUUUUGUUAACAUGUUAAAUAAAAUGUCAAACGUG